rnacentral:rRNA from 1 species
AGUCCGAACGAAGCCUUCGGGCUUAGUGGCGGACGGGUGAGUAACGCGUGAGAAUCUCCCUUCAGGAUGGGGACAACCGUUGGAAACGACGGCUAAUCCCCAAUGUGCCGAGAGGUGAAAGGGUUUCCGCCUGAAGAAGAGCUCGCGUCCGAUUAGUUAGUUGGUGAGGUAAGAGCUCACCAAGGCAGCGAUCGGUAGCUGGUCUGAGAGGAUGAGCAGCCACACUGGGACUGAGACACGGCCCAGACUCCUACGGGAGGCAGCAGUGGGGAAUUUUCCGCAAUGGGCGAAAGCCUGACGGAGCAACGCCGCGUGUGGGAAGAAGGCUCUUGGGCUGUCAACCACUUUUCUCAGGGAAGAAGUUCUGACGGUACCUGAGGAAUCAGCCUCGGCUAACUCCGUGCCAGCAGCCGCGGUAAUACGGAGGAGGCAAGCGUUAUCCGGAAUUAUUGGGCGUAAAGCGUCCGCAGGGGGCGCAUCAAGUCUGCUGUUAAAGGCUGGAGCUUAACUCCGGUAGAGCAGUGGAAACUGGUGCGCUAGAGGGCGACAGGGGUAGAGGGAAUUCCCAGUGUAGCGGUGAAAUGCGUAGAGAUUGGGAAGAACACCGGUGGCGAAAGCGCUCUACUGGGUCGCACCUGACCCUCAGGGACGAAAGCUAAGGUAGCGAAAGGGAUUAGAUACCCCUGUAGUCUUAGCCGUAAACGAUGGAUACUAGGCGUGGCUUGUAUCGACCCAAGCCGUGCCGAAGCUAACGCGU